rnacentral:tRNA from 1 species
UGUGGUCAUGUGGCCUAGUGGUCAUGGCAUCUGCCCGGUAAGCGGAUGGUCGUGGGUUCGAUUCCCAUAUAGUAGAUUAUAG